CAAUCGGUUUUUUUCAAAACCAAAAAUAGUCUAGAGAAUAUCGUCG
rfam:Octopus bimaculoides Scaffold60585_contig_38, whole genome shotgun sequence.